GAGAGGAGAGAGUGAGUGAGAGGGACAGAGAGGUAGCAGUCAGCAACAUGUAGCCUCGCCGAGUGGAGGAAAGGUCGAAACUGUGUGUGCGCGAUUCUUUGCUCUUUUCUUUUUUGUCGGGAGGGGUGAUAUGUUUCGCUUUCAUCCCGAGGACAUUAUCCCGCAACAUUAGAAUCGAUCAGGCUCUAUGCCGCAGGAAAUGUCCAGCGGAGGGAUGGACGGAUGGAUUGUGGUGCACGGAGAGAAGACGCGGAGAGCAAAAAGAGAAGAAAAAGAGUGCGGGGCUCCUGAAAACAGGUCUCUUCUCCUCAUCAGGUGAAGCACUGUGAACCGCCGACCCCCUCACCACCCUCCCUCCUCUCCUCCUCCCCUCUUUCCCUAGAGGCACCACCCACUACCCUUAAAUCCCCAAACCCCACCUGCCAACACCUGCCAAACUCCCUCCGACAGCUGCAACUGGCCCCCCUUUUACCCCAUGGUGGCCCCAAGGCCCGCCCUCUCACUGCUAUUGGCUGUCCUGGCCUGUACGGGGCCCGCACGCCCCUCGCCCCCCCUGCUUCUCCGGCCCCGGGAGAGAGAGAGGGACUCAGGUGGUGUCAACAUCGCCGUGGUCCACUCGGGCUCCUCCCUGCUCCCGGAGACCGCGG
ensembl:lncRNA